AUCUUCAGACACAAAAAAAAAAAAAAGAAGCAUCAGACCGAUAGAGAGAGAAAUAGAUCGAGAGACGGAGAAGAUAAGAUCCGCGUUCGAGAACAGUGAAGAACAGGUAAUAAAGAAAUGGAAUAUGUAGAGGGGAAGUUGUUUAUGCUUCAUGAUUAGUUGCUGAAACUCGGAGCUACUGAAGCUCUGUUAUUUGAAUGGACUACUAGUUGCUCUUUUAGUAUUUGGUUUUAAAGGUCUUGCUGAGGUGCACGCGUGGCCUAGUAACGGAGAUCUGGAAAUGGUUUACUAUGAUGUGUAGGAGUGGAUUUGCAGGAAAGCAGGAUUAGGAAUGGACGGUUUGAAGUAUGAAGUGAUGCUUACUUUCCUUGGUACUCUUUUUUUUGCAGGGACUAGGAAUCGACGGUUGGAUGAGAUUUAGAAUGGAAUUUUGAAGUUAUGAAAAGUUUUUAAGAUGUAGAGUGAGGUUUUGAAGUAUGAAAUGAUGGAUUCACCACCAUACUCUGCAACGUUUACUUUUGGUUUUGUAAUGAAAUUCGAAUACUAUGUUUUAAUGCAGUUCUAUGCUGGAAACUCUUAUGUGGAAACAGUUUUACUGUGUCCAUGAUUACUUUAUUCCA